UAAAUAAAUGGCGGUAGCAAUAUUAAUGCUUGUAGUCAUGAAACUUGAAUUACGUGCUUCAACUCCUCUUUGACUGUGAGAUCUCUCAGAGCUAAUAAUGAAUGAAGGAGUGAAAUGAAGUUUACAUAGUUUAUAGCAUGGUGUCUUGAAUGCUGGAUCUUCUUUUAACAAAGGUGGUUCUUGUCCGAAUAUCAUCUCACAGCUCAUAUCAUCAAAAUCUGCAAAAUCAGAUGGCACAGAACUAUUAAGAAGCUGAAUUCAUGGCUGCGGUUUAUCACCAUUAUUUGGUAAUGAUUGGCUUCAUGGGAAACGAAUGAAAACAGUAUCUUGCGAUGGACAUGGUGGAAUAGAAGGCACUAACCGUGGGUCUACAUGCAAUUUUGUGUCCUCAGUGGUUAACUGAGGGCCCUCUAUUGACAUGAUGAGCAUGGCGUCCACAUUCUCUAGUGCAGGUACUAUUACUUCUCAAACUAUCAUUUCUUUUCAAAUUAUUUUUGCAUUGCCAUAAGAGAAAAUCUAUAAUUUUAACCUUUUCUCUGUUUAUAAAACAAAAGUUAGGAUGUUUUCUGAAAAGUACCACUCAUUUUCUGUUUUCCGUUACUCUGCAAUAUCCUAAGAUUGUUUCAAACUAGUCCGUUAAUAUCAUAACCUUUCCUAGAAGCUACAUAGUACGGAAACAGAAAUGCAUUCGGAAAACAAUAAAAGUACAGUUUUUGUCAAGAAUACAUUAUGAAUAUAUAAGUUUUAGAGCUUCAGAUUAUACGAUAACGGAAGUUGAAACGAGAAGUGUUGAAUGAGGAAACUUACUGGGAACCAUGUUGACUGGCAUUCCAAGUGAUUCCUUAAUGAAGGUCUGACUUGAAGCCUUACAAAGAUUAGUACACAUCCCAACACAAUUGGUUUCGUCCAAAAACCUGCAAAAAUGUUAAAAGAGCAGAACAAGAGAAGUGUCAAAUUGAUCGAUUGUUGGUGGUAGUAAUUUAAAAAAUUCGGAUGAUGACGAUAAUCAUUGUCAUUAUUAGGAUGCUCAUGGUGGUAGUAAUGGAGAAAAUAGUGUGAAAGCAACACACUUAUAGGAGCACUAUAUAUUUUAAAAAUAAAAAAGUGUCUUAGGUUGGUGACAUAGGACCCCAUCAAAUGUGUCAUGUACAAUUCUAAUAUAGAGCAAAGGUAAUAAAAUUACCUGCAUUUUUUUA